GGUUAAGCGAUCAAGUCGUGGAGCCGCAGGGAAACCAAGCCUAAAUAGGGCCAAAGUCAGCACAGGCAGACCCGAAACCGGGUGAUCUACCCAUGUCCAGGAUGAAGCGGGAGUAAAAUCCCGUGGAGGUCCGAACGCACAUCCGUUGAAAAGGGUGGCGAUGAGGUGUGGGUAGGGGAGAAAUUCCAAUCGAACCCGGAGAUAGCUGGUUCUCCUCGAAAUAGCUUUAGGGCUAGCCUCGGUGCAAUCUGCUGGAGGUAGGGCACUGAAUUCCCGCGGGGGCGUCAAAGCCUACCAAAGGAUAUCAAACUGCGAAUGCCAGACAGAUGAUCACCGGGAGUCAGACCACACGAGAUAAGUUGGGUGGUCAAAAGGGAAAGAGCCCAGACCUGCAGCUAAGGUCCCCAAGUGCGUGUUAAGUGGAAAAGGAUGUGGGAUCUCGAAGACAACUAGGAUGUUGGCUCAGAAGCAGCCAUACAUUCAAAGAGUGCGUAAUAGCUCACUAGUCGAGAGGUCCUGCGCCGAAAAUGAACCGGGGCUAAACACGACACCGAAGCUCAGGAAUCCGAAAGGAUUGGUAGAGGAGCAUUGCUGAAGCGACGAAGCAGUACCGAAAGGAGCUGUGGAGUUUCAGGAAGAGAGAAUGCCGGAAUGAGUAGCGAGAGAAAGGUGAGAAUCCUUUCGGCCGAAUAUCCAAGGUUUCCAGGGUAAAGCUGAUCUGCCCUGGGUAAGUCGGGGCCUAAGGCGAGGCAGAAAUGCGUAGUCGAUGGACAGCAGGUUGAGAUUCCUGCACCCGUAAUGAACAGAACUGUAGUGACACGGAAGGUAAGACAGAGCCGGGAAUGAGAAAACCGGUGCAAGCACAAUAGAUGUGUGGGAGGAAAAACCCCCGCAUAAGUCGAAGGUGUGACGCGGACCGAAAAAGAGUAGGGAAGCUGUUAAGCAAGCCGUCAAGAAAAGCUGCUAUUGUUUCAUUAUGGCCCGUACCGUAAACCGACACAGGUGGAUGGGGAGAGAAUCCUAAGGCCGGCGGAAGAAGUAUUGUUAAGGAACUCGGCAAAAUGACCCCGUAACUUCGGGAGAAGGGGUGCCUGCGAGAGCAGGCCGCAGAGAAGAGGCCCAAGCAACUGUUUAGCAAAAACACAGGUCUAUGCAAAACCGAAAGGUGAGGUAUAUGGGCUGACGCCUGCCCGGUGCUGGAAGGUUAAGGGGAGUGGUCAGGAAACGAAGCCACGAACUUAAGCCCCAGUAAACGGCGGCCGUAACUAUAACGGUCCUAAGGUAGCGAAAUUCCUUGUCGGGUAAGUUCCGACCCGCACGAAAGGCGUAAUGAUUUGGGCGCUGUCUCGACAAUACAUCCGGUGAAAUUGAAGUGCCAGUGAAGAUGCUGGCUACCUGCGCCAGGACGGAAAGACCCCAUGGAGCUUUACUCCAGCUUGAUACUGGGACCCGGUAUUGCAUGUACAGGAUAGGUGGGAGGCUAGGAAAUGUGGACGCCAGUCUGCAUGGAGCCGCUGUUGGGAUACCACCCUUGUGGUGCUGGGUUUCUAACCAGAGGCCGUGAACCGGUCUGGGGACAAUGUCAGGUGGGGAGUUUGACUGGGGCGGUCGCCUCCGAAAGGGUAUCGGAGGCGCCCAAAGGUUCCCUCAGAAUGGUUGGAAACCAUUCGAAGAGUGCAAAGGCAGAAGGGAGCUUGACUGCGACACCGACGGGUGGAGCAGGUACGAAAGUAGGGCUUAGUGAUCCGGUGGUAUUAAGUGGGAAUGCCAUCGCUCAACGGAUAA
rnacentral:rRNA from 1 species